rnacentral:rRNA from 1 species
GUAGACUCCUACGGGAGGCAGCAGUAAGGAAUAUUGGACAAUGGGCGCAAGCCUGAUCCAGCCAUCCCGCGUGCAGGAAGACAGCCCUAUGGGUUUUAACUGCUUUUAGAAGGGAAGAAACGCCUACAUUUAUGUGGUUUGACGGUACCUUCAGAAAUAAGCACCGGCUAACUCCGUGCCAGCAGCCGCGGUAAUACGGAGGGUGCGAGCGUUAUCCGGAAUUACUGGGUUUAAAGGGUGCGUAGGCGGGCGAUUAAGUCAGAGGUGAAAGCUUUCAGCUUAACUGAGAAAUUGCCUUUGAUUACUGAUUGUCUUGAAAUAUGUUGAGGUUAGCAGAAUGUGGCAUGUAGCGGUGAAAUGCAUAGAUAUGCCAUAGAAUACCAAUUGCGAAGGCAGCUAACUGGGCAUUAUUUGACGCUGAGGCACGAAAGCGUGGGGAGCGAACAGGAUUAGAUACCCUGGUAG